GCGGAUAUAGUCGAAUGGUAAAAAUUCUCUUUGUCAAGGAGAAGACGCGGGUUCGUUUCCUGCUAUUCGCC
rfam:Gossypium hirsutum cultivar TM-1 chromosome 6, whole genome shotgun sequence